UACGAAGGGGGGCUAGCGUUGCUCGGAAUUACUGGGCGUAAAGGGCGCGUAGGCGGAUGUUUAAGUCGGGGGUGAAAGCCCGGGGCUCAACCUCGGAAUUGCCUUCGAUACUGGACAUCUUGAGUUCGGGAGAGGUGAGUGGAAUGCCGAGUGUAGAGGUGAAAUUCGUAGAUAUUCGGCGGAACACCAGUGGCGAAGGCGGACUCACUGGCCCGAUACUGACGCUGAGGCGCGAAAGCGUUGGGGGAG
rnacentral:rRNA from 1 species